rnacentral:rRNA from 1 species
UGGGGAAUAUUGGACAAUGGGCGAAAGCCUGAUCCAGCCAUGCCGCGUGUGUGAAGAAGGUCUUCGGAUUGUAAAGCACUUUAAGUUGGGAGGAAGGGCAGUAAAUUAAUACUUUGCUGUUUUGACGUUACCGACAGAAUAAGCACCGGCUAACUCUGUGCCAGCAGCCGCGGUAAUACAGAGGGUGCAAGCGUUAAUCGGAAUUACUGGGCGUAAAGCGCGCGUAGGUGGUUCGUUAAGUUGGAUGUGAAAUCCCCGGGCUCAACCUGGGAACUGCAUUCAAAACUGACGAGCUAGAGUAUGGUAGAGGGUGGUGGAAUUUCCUGUGUAGCGGUGAAAUGCGUAGAUAUAGGAAGGAACACCAGUGGCGAAGGCGACCACCUGGACUGAUACUGACACUGAGGUGCGAAAGCGUGGGGAGCAAAACAGGAUUAGAU